UUGGGGAGUACCCGAAGCCUGUGAGCUAACAUUAUAGGAGCAGCAGUCGAAGGUAGAAUCAAUGAUUGGGUGAAGUCGUAACAAGGUACC
rnacentral:rRNA from 1 species